GGGGGUAUGCGCUCAGUGGUAGAGCGCUCGCUUUGCAUGUGAGAAGUCCCGGGUUCAAACCCCGGCUACCUCCA